GACGAACGCUGGCGGCGUGCUUAACACAUGCAAGUCGAACAGUGGCGGACGGGUGAGUAAUGCUUGGGAAUCUGGCUUAUGGAGGGGGAUAACUACGGUAAACUGUAGCUAAUACCGCUUACCCUAGGAUGAGCCCAAGUGGGAUUAGGUAGUUGGUGAGGUAAAGGCUCACCAAGGCGACGAUCUCUAGCUGGUCGGAGAGGAUGACCAGCCACAAUGGGACUGGGACACGACCCAGAUUCCUACGGGAGGCAGCAGUGGGAAAUAUUGCGCAAUGGGGGCAACCUGACGCAGCCAUGCCGCGUGAAUGAAGAAGGCCUUCGGGUUGUAAAGUUCUUUCGGUAGAGAGGCGUUAACUACAGAAGAAGCAACGGCUAACUACGUGCCAGCAGCCGCGGUAAUUC
rnacentral:rRNA from 1 species